rnacentral:lncRNA from 1 species
GAAUCUUUUACACUUCUUCAACAAUGAAGCAAACUCGGAGUCAUAUCCAUGGAGAUUCCUUACCUGGUUCAAAACUCCAUAUCAAUGGACAGGAGAUCUCCUUAAACUUAUCCAUGAGCAUCGGUUAUUCUCAGACAACAUUUCCAAAGCUUCGGAAUACCAUGCUAUUUUCAUAUUACACAGGCCCUAUCUCCGACUGACAGAAAGCACAUAUGCAACCCAGAAUAUCUGUUACCAUUAGAGAACACUUAAUAGUCCUCUACAUCUUGCUUCGCCAGCAAUCACAGAAGACCUAAAACAGGCCCUGCAAUACAAAAAUGAAUCAAGGAUGGCUAAUGUCUCAACACCAUUAGUAUGCACAUCAAUGGACAUCAAUCAACUGGACAAUCCAUUGAACAUUUAUGUUUCUCUGAUCUUCCGACCCCACUGGAUGAUCCUACCUUAACCAGAGCACAAUAAGAAGCUCUCAUGCAAGAUUCCCAGCCAAUGGAUGAUGAUCAAUAUGAUCAUAUUUUCUAAGCAUGUGAAGUUGCCAACCACUCCUAUUACUUUAAGUGAAUUAUUGCUUUGAGAGUGGAGUUGUCAUUGUUGCUUUAGUAAGAAGAGUGUAUUAUUAGGCAUAUGAGUGUAUUAUUGUAUGUUGUCCUAUUAGGCAUGUGAGUGGAGUAGUGGAGUGAAUUAUUGUAUGUUAUCCUAUUAGGUAUGUGAGUGGAGUGAAUUAUUAGGUAUGAUGAGUCGUCCUUAUUAUCUUGUAAGUAGAGGAUGAGUAGGAUUCCCACUUACUUGGCUUUUGUACUCUUGUUGUGAUUCUCCUCCCUAUAUAAGGAGAAGUUAAUUUGAAUAAAGAUCAAGCAAGUUUUCCUUUCAUCUAUGUUUAUCAUACUCUCUCUUAUGGCUUUCUAAACCUCUUCAUUCUCUUCUUCUCGAUCCAUUAGCAAUGAACUAAUAGUUGCUACGAUCUAUUUCUAGUAUAAUCCAAAAGGGCUAACUCGGCUAUCGAAAUCCAAAAGAGCAGAAAGACCCCCAUGGCGAGGUGCCUCUUUGUGGUCUUAGCUUGAGGAUACUCACAUGUCUUGAGUUUACAGCAUGAGGACUAUACCAUGAACAGCUCUCGGCUCCCUUUGGUAUCAAAGCCUGGUGACAGAGAAGAGAAACCCAACCACAAUGACUUCAGAAAUCACAACCCACACUUCAACCCUGCAACUCUCUCCUUCAUGUAAGAAAACCGUAUCCAACAAGAUAGACCAUCUUGUAGAAAUUUCUCAUAUACCUGAGAAUGUUCAAAUAGAAAACACCCUUGUACCUAUUAUGAAUCCAUACAAUAUCUUUAAAAAACAAAACUUUGUCAGAAAAACCUUUAACCAGAUUAUCCAUAAACAACCCCUUUCUAUAAAUGAAUAUGUCCAAUCUUCUUCCCUUUCUCAAUGUUCUUUCACUGCUACUACACAGGAGCAGUAUGUUACUCUCGAAAUCCCAGCCUCCUUCAUAGAACAAUGGAGAAAAUAUGGCUAUACACACCUCCAUCUUGGAGCAGUUAGACUAGUUCUAUCCUAUCAUGGAAGGAUGGGUCUACCGGUCACAGUCCGUAUGUCGCUACUGGACACAAGAUACCUCAAGUAUGAGCAUGCAGUGAUUGGAAAGAUCGUCACAACACUCAACACAGGAAGUGUUGUCUUGACCUUCUUCCCUAAUUUCAAUCUAUCCCUCAAUGAUCCUUAUCUUUCCACUACACUAAAAGUUCAAGUCCAGAUAACAGGAGCGAAUCAAGUCGAUAACACUCUCUCUGCAACCCUACACCAUCAUAUAGUCUAUAGACUACAGGAUCAUGCAUUGAAUCUACAGAUCCCAGCCUUUCAAGCCUCUUCUGAUGCGUUGUACAUUAUGGCCGACUCUGGCCAGAUCCCUACUAUUGUCCAGGCUCCCAGGCAACUGAAAAAAGAAGAUCUACAAAAGCUGAUCCCAACAGAAUAGGUCACUAACUAUGAGAAGCUUCAGGUAUCCCAAACUAAGCCUGUUCAAGCUACAGACCCUCUUUUUAUCCAACAAAGAGACGGGACUGUUAAAACGAUCUUCACAAAGACUGGAGAAACUUCUUCAGCUCCAUCCAUUUUUCAAGCAUCCAUGAUAUAACCAAUAUCAAGGCCAAGGGAAAAGAUCCCUAUUCAUUCAUUCCAGUCCUCUGGACACCAGAUCUACGCCGCUCAGGUCAAAAGACACUUUGUCUGGGAUGUUGCCCCAGAGAUGUGCCGUCCGGGAUGCACCUGUGAUGAUGACUUAGACUAUACUGAACCUUGCUUUCGGCAUCCAAAGAAGAAUCCUCGAAAUAUGACACCGGACACUCCAUGUUCAGAAAUAAGAUCGAAACCGGAUGAUUGGGAUCCAGAUGGUUCCUAGAAGCAACAGAAGAGCAAAACACCACUCCCAAUGUUUGAUGAGGCUAUUGAACUCCUUGCAAAAGAAGGAAAAACAGUCCUUGAUAUCUCUUUCGAUGAAUUGAAGGUACUGUUGGCCCAACUCGGUCUCGAAUUUGGGAAAGCCCCUUCUGCAACCUGCAGAAAGGAGAUCCAGCCAGAUCUACCAGUGGUCCAACCAUUAAUUCAAGGGUGCUACAUGUUCCAGCCAGAGGAUUUCCCUCCUUUAGGGAAAACAGAGAACAAGAGAUCAGAAAUUCUUCCUUCAAGGAUUUCUCCCUCUGGAUCUAUAGAGCCUCUGACACCUCUAAAAGAGGUGCUAAACUGGCAAACCUCCAACUCGACCCAGAAUACUUAUCUAAAAAAGAUAGAUGAAAAACUGGACCAAGCUUUACACCUGGCUCAAAAACUGGAUCAUAAGUUGGAUACUUUCUCAUAAGAAGUACUCCAGCUCCAUUCAUCGCUCACUACAAAGUAUCAGGCUCUGGAUAGAGAGCUUCGGAUACCUCAGCCCAUUACUCCCGCCUUUGUGCAAAAGGAAAAGGAGAUCACACGGCUGAAGAAACAAAUAGAUCAAAUUGAGCAUGAUAUUCGGAGAGACCAGUCUACCAUAAUUUCCUCCUUCACAUCAGCAGCUUCUACAUCAUCUGCUAUUGCUCCCUCAUACUAUUCUUCAUUCCCCUUUCUUCCACAGCCAGAACAACAACAAGAAACUCUUUAUCAGCCCUUUGGCACCUUCUCUCACCUUUACCCAAAAAACUCAGAAACCCAACAAAAGAAAACCUCUCCUCCUCUAGCCUCUAAAGACAAACUUCCAGAACAAUCCCUUAUCAGUCCAUAUGAUUCUGAAUCCUCCUCAAACACCUCAGAAAUGGCAGACAUCACUGAAAUCCUAAUGAAUACUUCUGCUACUAAUCCUAGUCCAGAAGUAGUGGAACCUGAGGAUGAAGAUGCACAGUCAUUCUUUGCUCCCACUGGAGCUCCAUACCUAAGGUCAAAACCGAUGGCUGGCAUGGGACCUUGGUUCUCUUUUGAUGACCUGCCUCCAUCAAAAUGGAAGGACAAGCUUUCUGAAUUCUUGGCAUGGAUUGAUCUCCAGAUGACCCUUGAAGGGGCUACACUUAAAAGGGUCCUUGCCGAAUUCGUCACAAGGUUCACGGGAAGCUUAAGAGAUUGGUUUCAGUCUCAGCUUGAGUAUACUAGGCUUCAAUUUGUGGCGCUACCAACUCCAUCAGCAGUAGUUACAAUCCUCCAUAACCAGUUCCUUGAGAGUUAUGAUCUUGUCAUACGACAGCAGAAACAAAAGUUCUUUGAUCGAAAAUGCUGUUCAUUAAAAAUGAAGGACCUGGAAAAGCAUUAUUCGGCUAUGUCCAAACUCUAUUAUAUUAUCGGAGGACAUGAUGGUGAUGAUACACUAAAGUAUACCUUCAUCACCUCUCUACCGGAUGAAAUACAACAUGAGGUCAACAACAUGAUUGUUGCAACAAAGAAACUAGUCACCUCCAUCACACUCGGCGAAAUCUGGCAAUUCACUCUCUCUUCCAUUAAGAGACUGUGUGACCAACAAGAGUUAUUCAGGAGGUUAUCUCAAAGAGAUUUAGCAGUCCAAAAGGCCUGCAAUAAGAACCACCUCAGGAUCAAGUGCAAGGCCUCAAACUGCGUCUGUUCUAAACAAAAGAAGAAGUCUGGAUAUCAUUUCCAGAAAUAUACGCGCAGCAACAAGGAGUUCAGAAAAGAAAAAAAGAACUCAAAGAGAUUCAAAUAUUUCCGCAAGAAACAAAAUCAAGGGUACAAGUCUGACAGAUGCUUCAUCUGCAAAAGAGAGGGACACUAUGCAAAAAAUUGUACUAAGAAUCCAGAAAAGUCAGCAAGGAUGAUUCAACAAGUCAGCAUGUCUUUGUCUCUCCCAGCCACCUUCGAAGAAGAUAUUGAAUCUCUCCUUUCAGAGCAAGAGGAUCUUACCCCAGAAAGGUUAUUUGGGAUUGAAGUAGAAUUUUCCGAUUCCACAAAGUCCUCACAAGAGUCCUCUUCAGACUCAGAUGAUAGUGAAAUACCAAUCCUGAUGAUUGGUCUGAAAGAAGAAGGUCAAGAAGAUAUUCUGAGAGAUGUGAUGCAGUAUCCUCUCUCUCCAACCCUACUGUCUUCCUUCUUUGCUUCUCAUCCAUUUUCUGAGUCAUCUCAGCUUGCAACCAAAAUACCUCCAGUCCCUUAUGUUCCCAUACAGAUCCUACCUUCAAAAUAUGCAAAGAAGCAUGAUGAUUCCAAUGGUCCUCCCAUCAGAGUAUUGGAAGCCCCAUGAUCAGUUCUUUAGGGCAGCCAAUGGUCAAACCUUCAAAACCACUAUGAUCACAAGACAGAAGAUCAGAAUUCAGUUCUUUCAUGAUUGCGUAGUAUGGACGCAUAUCAUUGGUUCAGAUCUUCCAAGCAAGGAUAUUCUAAUAGGGUUUGAUGUUUAUCAUCAAGCUCAGAAGCUUCAGAUCCUGCCAACUGGCAUUAAAUUCAAGAGACAGUUUCGGCCAUACACAAAAACUUCAAAUCUGUUUGCUAUAACAGAUACAAUUCCACCAUUCCUACCAUACACAGAAAAAUUCUUUCAGUUCUGUCCAGAAUCUCAUUCACAUUUUCAACACCCUUUUCCUCUGUGGAAAAAUCCACAAUUCUAUAUCAGCCUCCCCUUCAAACUUAAUGAAGACAUUAACCCUACUAAAGCCACACACAUGGGAAUGUCACCCACAGACCUAGCCCUUGCCCGAUCAGAAUGCUUGACACUGUUACAGCAAGGCCUAAUUGAACCCACUACUUCACAAUGGGCUUGCCAAGCCUUUUAUGUGGAAAAAAGGUCUGAAAAGAUUCGGGGAAAAAGAGGCUUGUCAUAGACUACAAGCCCUUAAACCAUUUCCUUCAAGACAAUAAAUUUCCUCUUCCUCGGAUCUCAAAUCUCAAAGUCCAUAUCCAAAAGGCCCAAUACUAUUCUAAAUUUGACCUGAAUGCAGGCUUUUGGCAACUGGGUAUCCAGCCCACAGAAAGAUACAAAAUUGCAUUUUGUAUCCCUAAUGCCCAAUACCAGUGGACUGUUAUGCCCUUUGGGCUCAAGACGGCCCCAUCUCAAUUUCAAAAGACCAUGAUUGAGAUUUUUGGGCCUAUCCUUUACUCUUCUUUAAUCUAAAUUGAUGAUAUUCUCCUAUUCUCGGAGACAGCAGAGGAACACUAUCAACUGUUACAACAGUUUCUCGCCAUCAUUCAGAAAUAUGUCAUCAUGCUGUCAGAAAAGAAGAGCACUAUUGGCCAACGAGAAAUUGAAUUUCUCGGUAUGCAUUUCAAGAAUGGCCAAUACACAUAUGGUCCCCAUCUGACGAAGGAACUUCAUCACUUCCUAGAAGAAAAUCUUUCAAUGAAACAAAUUCAACAGUUCCUUGGAAUCCUGAACUAUGUUCGAGAGGCCAUUCCACACCUGUCUAGUUACACGUGCCACCUCUCAAAGAUGCUCAAUAAGGACCCUCCUCCGUGGGGAGCGGAAUAAACAACAGCUGUCAGAAAGUUAAAAGAGCUGGCCCACAAUCCACCACCUCUCACAAUCCCGUCCACAGGAGAACUUAUUCUUCAAACUGAUGCAUCUGAUUAUGCAUGGGGGGCCAUCCUCCUAGAAAAGCUCCACGACAAGGAACAAUUAUGUGGUUAUGCAUCGGGUCAGUUUUCCUCCUCAGAAAAGCACUAUCACAUGAUCUACAAGGAAAUCUUGGCGGUAAAAAACGGGAUAAAGAAGUUUGAAUUCUUCUUGAUUGGACAACAUUUCCUGGUUCAGAUGGAUAACUCCUCCUUCCCAAAGAUCCUUAAAUCCAACCAGAAGGUCUUACCUGAGCCUCAGCUCUUACGGCUCAAAUCAUGGUUCAACAGGUGUGACUUUACAGUUGAGCAUAUAAAAGGGACAAGAAAUCUAAUACCAGAUUUCUUAUCCAGACUUUCCAAACCUCAAAAUCAGCCUAUAGUCCUUCUCACCUCUACCAUAAAUCUUCCCAUAAUUUUUAUGGCUUCUUCAUCUUCUAGAACCAACCUGCAACCUCCUUCACCACCAGAUCUUCCCAACAACCUCACAACCAAACAAGUCACUGACUUUGCCCGGAACAUGAUGUUCCAUUAUUUGGCAACUUUUCAACAAACCUUCUCACUCCCAAUACAACCCAACUUCUUCUUUCCAAACUACCCUUGGUGUCUGAUUUAUCACUUAUCUCCUAAACAUCCAAAGCAUGAAAGUGAGUUAUGGUUCCUAUGGUGCCUAUCUACAGUCUGUCAUCAUGCUAUAGAAGUGCCCAUUAUGAAUCUUUUACACUUCUUCAACAAUGAAGCAAACUCGAGGUCAUAUCCAUGGAGAUUCCUUACCUGGUUCAAAACUCCAUAUCAAUGGACAGGAGAUCUCCUUAAACUUAUCCAUGAGCAUCAGUUAUUCUCAGACAACAUUUAUAAAGCUUUGGAAUACCAUGCUAUUUUCAUAUUACACAGGCCCUAUCUCCGACUGACAGAAAGCACAUAUGCAACACAGAAUAUCUGUUACCAUUGGAGAACACUUAAUAGUCCUCUAUAUCUUGCUUCGCCAGCAAUCACAGAAGACCUAAAACAGGCCCUGCAAUACAUAAAUGAAUCAAGGAUGGCUAAUGUCUCAACACCAUUAGUAUGCACAUUCAAUGGACAUCAAUCAACUGGACAAUCCAUUGAACAUUUCUGUUUCUCUGAUCUUCCGACCCCACUGGAUGAUCCUACCUUAACCAGGGCACAACAAGAAGCUCUCAUGCAAGAUUCCCAGCCAAUGGAUG